GAUGAAGAACGCAGCGAAAUGCGAUAAGUAGUGUGAAUUGCAGAAUUCAGUGAAUCAUCGAAUCUUUGAACGCACAUUGCGCCCCUUGGUAUUCCAUGGGGCAUGCCUGUUCGAGCGUCAUUUGUACCUUCAAGCUUUGCUUGGUGUUGGGUGUUUGUCCCUCGGGACUCGCCUUAAUGUCAUUGGCAGCCAGUGUUUUGGUUUUGAAGCGCAGCACAAGUCGCGAUUCAAGGCUAUCCGCCCGCUUCCACAAGCCUUUUUCACUUUUGACCUCGGAUCAGGUAGGGAUACCCGCUGAACUUAAGCAUAUCAAUAAGCGGAGGA
rnacentral:misc_RNA from 1 species